CCUACGGGGGGCAGCAGUGGGGAAUAUUGCACAAUGGGGGAAACCCUGAUGCAGCGACGCCGCGUGAGUGAAGAAGUAUUUCGGUAUGUAAACUUCUAUCAGCAGGGAAGAAAAUGACGGUACCUGACUAAGAAGCCCCGGCUAACUACGUGCCAGCAGCCGCGGUAAUACGUAGGGGGCAAGCGUUAUCCGGAUUUACUGGGUGUAAAGGGAGCGUAGGCGGUAUGUCAAGUCAAGAGUGAAAGCCCGGCGCUCAACGUGGGGACUGCCUUUGAAACUGGUAAACUAGAGUGUGGGAGAGGUAAGUGGAAUUCCUAGUGUAGGGGUGAAAUGCGUAGAUAUCAGGAGGAACAACAGUGGCGAAGGCGACUAACUGG
rnacentral:rRNA from 1 species